UAGGGAAUCUUCCGCAAUGGACGCCAGUCUGACGGAGCAACGCCGCGUGAGUGAAGAAGGAUUUCGGUUCGUAAAACUCUGUUGUUAGAGAAGAACAGCGCAUAGAGUAACUGUUAUGCGUGUGACGGUAUCUAACCAGAAAGCCACGGCUAACUACGUGCCAGCAGCCGCGGUAAUACGUAGGUGGCAAGCGUUGUCCGGAUGUAUUGGGCGUAAAGCGAGCGCAGGCGGUCAAUUAAGGCUGAUGUGAAAGCCGCCGGCUCAACCGGGGAGGGUCAUUGGAAACUGGAAAACUUGAGUGCAGAAGAGGAAAGGGGAAUUCCAUGUGUAGCGGUGAAAUGCGCAGAGAUAUGGAGGAACACCAGUGGCGAAGGCGACUUUCUGGUCUGUAACUGACGCUGAUGUGCGAAAGCGUGGGGAUCAAACUAG
rnacentral:rRNA from 1 species